rnacentral:lncRNA from 1 species
GUCCCAGCAGCCCAUCAUGUCUGUGGGUGGCAGAACAGCUCCAGCACACCUACCCAUUUCCAUGGCCCCUGGCACAGCUGCGUAGUGCUGGGGCAGAUGGAUGGACUGUGGUCAGGAUGAGCCCUGCCCUGCGCCUGCUGCUGUCCCUGGCCAGCUGCUCCCUGCUCCAGGGGAUGCUACUGAGGCCACGGCAUGUCAGGCUGGAGGCAAAGAACUUCCAUGUCUGGCUGCACUGGGAGCCAGAUCCCAGCUCACCCAGCUCUGCCACCUAUGAGGUGGAGUGGAGGAACAGAACCUCGAACUGGACCAAGGCAGGUGCCUAUGGGGGGAACAGCAGAAACUCCUGUGUGUGUGAGCUGUAUUUUGACAGGAUUCAUGACACCUACUGGGCACGGGUGAGAGUGGUGGCCGGAGGUGAGCAGUCCGAGUGGGCCAGUUCCAGCGAGCUGCAGCUGUACAGAGACACAAUUGUUGGCCCCCCCAAGUUGUCCUGGCUACUCCAGGACCAAAUCCUCAGUGUAAACAUCAUCAUACCACCCACUCCCUACCAGAGAAGAACUGGUUCCUACAAGCCGGUCAACCGAGUGCUGCUGAAACUGUGGUAUUGGCUGCACCUGUACGAGGGGGACCUACUUGUCCAGCAGGUGCCCUGCAAACAGAGCAGGAGGGAAGUGCCUUGCACCUUUGGGCACCUGAAGCCCAGCACACAGUACUGUGUCCGGACGGUGGCUGCAGACAUUGCCAGAGAGCGGAGCCAGGAGGCUGAGCAGUGCCUGGUGACUCCAGCAGGCCCUUCAGGCUUUCCAUGGGUCCUUGCUGUGCUGAGUACCUUCUUCCUGCUGCUGCUACUAAGUGUGGCCGGGAUCUGCUUCAUGCAGCUGCGUGUCUUUCCCAAUCCUCCGGAGACCUGCCUCCCAAAAGCACUGGCUCUCCAGAACAGCGAGCUGAGUAUGGCCAUGCAGGUGCUUCCACUCCAGCUUGAGGAGGACCCACUGGCCCUGCUCCUGCAGACUGUGCUCCCCUCCCACGGGCCACCCACAGCUGUGCAGGCAUCAGCCACGGUCCCACAGCUCCUGCAAGGCCUUGUCCAGGAUGUGAGUAGUGGCUACUGUGCCAAUGGGUUUGGCCCAAACUGCACUGAGGGAAGGGACCCAUCCUGCACCCACAGUCAGCUGGGGCACGCCUUAGGUUCUCAGGUCCCCUCACAGCUGGAGAAGGAUGGGGAGGCAGGUGAUGGGGAUGAUUUGCCAGAGCAGCUGGUGCUAGUGGGACUGGCUGGACGCAGCUACAUAGGUGAUGGGGACAGCCAGAUACCUAAAACAUGGCUCCCCCUGNNNNNNNNNNNNNNNNNNNNNNNNNNNNNNNNNNNNNNNNNNNNNNNNNNNNNNNNNNNNNNNNNNNNNNNNNNNNNNNNNNNNNAUGCCAGUGCCCAGUCCUGGGAGCAGGCAGCCACCUUCCUCUACCCGUGCCAAGCAGAAGCUGCAGCCAGGAGUACCUGCAGGAGAGUCUGGGCACGGCUGGGCACUGGAUCCGGCUCAGCUCCGUGAGGCUCCUGCCCAGUGCGGAGGCAGAGGGAGGGCAGCGCCUCCGUGCUCCCCAGCCCCUGCGUGGCGGCUGGACUGAACUAGAACAAGACGACAGGACCGCGCAGCGAGGCUGCCCGGAGCAGGCAGAGUCGUGUCUGUGCAGCCCCUACCAGCUGCCCUCCUCGCCCUGCAGCGUCCCUGGGGCAGUUCCCUUCCCCGGCUACGAGCCCCGUGCCCCGCCUGGCAGCGAGCCUUAGCGAGCGGGGCCGCCUCCAGCACCCAGCACAGCCAGGGCGCCUCCCCGAGCUCCCCGGCCGGGACGGCUGUCUGUCUGCCCUAACCUGCUGGGGCAGGGCUGGGGAUGGGACCGGGGCAGACUCCAAGGGCAGGCACAGACACGUUCCGAGCACGGCCGCCGAGGAUCCGCCGAGCACGGGCAGGAUCCAGAGCUUUCCUCUGGGGAUUUGGUGCUCUUGAGACACAGCAUAAGGAGCAUGGAUCAACGUUGAACCCCAAAACUUCUUAUCUAGAGAUCUGUCU